CGAUGGAGACUAUUUAGUAUUAGUCUGAGAAAUGAAUCAAAACAAACAAAUACAUGUUGUUGUGUGUCUCAUUAGAGUUUCAUUGUGCUUUAAUAUUGAAUCCGUUUUAAAUAUAUGCAAGAUAAGAACACGGAACUGGUUGCCUGAAAAGCCAUUAAACCAUUCAAGCUGUUAGUCUAUCACUAAUUUGGAUAUGGUGUAUUUUUUGUUUGAGAUAUUCUAUAUUUUGUUAGCUAAUUUUAUUUUUUUUGUACGUUGAAUUUGCAUUUGCAUGUAAUAGUUGUGUGAAUGUUCUAAUAUUUUGAAAAUGCUGUUUGUGAGAAGGUAAUUGCCAUUGGACAGAUGAAAGAGAAAUUUAUGUAGGUGUCCGUGAGUUCGACAGAUUGUGAGGGUGAUUUAGUUUUUAAAUACUGGUGGCCUUAGAAGCAAAAAUCGGUAAUGAAAUUUGUUAUUGUUACCGACAAUUCAAUAGUAUGAGAUAUAUAUGAAAUGGUUUGAUUAUUUGUGGAAACUCAUGAUCAGUAAAUCCACAUAUGAUUUACUUUAUAGUUAGUACGAACAGAAAGCAGUAGGAAUAA
rnacentral:lncRNA from 1 species